rnacentral:rRNA from 1 species
UACAGAGGUCCCAAGCGUUGUUCGGAUUCAUUGGGCGUAAAGGGUGCGUAGGCGGCGCGGUAAGUCGGGUGUGAAAUCUCGGAGCUUAACUCCGAAACUGCAUUCGAUACUGCCGUGCUUGAGGACUGGAGAGGAGACUGGAAUUUACGGUGUAGCGGUGAAAUGCGUAGAUAUGCGGAGGAACACCGAUGGCGAAGGCAAUCCCCUGGGCCUGCACUGACGCUCAUGCACGAAAGGCGUGGGGAGCAAACAGG